rnacentral:rRNA from 1 species
CCUACGGGGGGCAGCAGUGAGGAAUAUUGGUCAAUGGCCGCAGGGCUGAACCAGCCAAGUCGCGUGAGGGAUGACGGUCCUAUGGAUUGUAAACCUCUUUUGUCAGGGAGCAAAGGGCGCCACGUGUGGCGCUUUGCGAGUACCUGAAGAAAAAGCAUCGGCUAACUCCGUGCCAGCAGCCGCGGUAAUACGGAGGAUGCGAGCGUUAUCCGGAUUUAUUGGGUUUAAAGGGUGCGCAGGCGGAAUGUCAAGUCAGCGGUAAAAUUUCGGGGCUCAACCCCGUCGUGCCGUUGAAACUGGCGUUCUUGAGUGAGCGAGAAGUAUGCGGAAUUCGUGGUGUAGCGGUGAAAUGCUUAGAUAUCACGAAGAACCCCGAUUGCGAAGGCAGCCUGCCGCAGCGUUACUGACGCUGAAGCUCGAAAGCGCGGGUAUCGAACAGGAUUAGAUACCCGUGUAGUC